GCACCCAUAGCUCAAUUGGAUAGAGCGUCUGACUACGGAUCAGAAGGUUGGGGGUUCGAAUCCUCCUGGGUGUACAA
rnacentral:tRNA from 1 species